rnacentral:rRNA from 1 species
GAUUGAAACUCAAAGGAAUUGACGGGGGCCCGCACAAGCGGUGGAGCAUGUGGUUUAAUUCGACGCAACGCGAAGAACCUUACCGGGGUUUGAACUGUGCAGGAAGCUUGCCAGAGAUGGAAGUGUCCUCUUCGGAGGUCUGUUCAGAGGUGCUGCAUGGCUGUCGUCAGCUCGUGUCGUGAGAUGUUGGGUUAAGUCCCGCAACGAGCGCAACCCUUGUCUGUAGUUGCCAUCAGGUCAAGCUGGGCACUCUACGGAGACUGUCGGCGAAAAGCCGGAGGAAGGUGGGGAUGACGUCAAGUCUUCAUGGCCUUUAUGCCCCGGGCUACACACGUGCUACAAUGGGUGGUACAAAGAGCAGCCAACUCGCAAGAGUGAGCGAAUCUCAAAAAGCCAUCCUCAGUUCGGAUUGCAGUCUGCAACUCGACUGCAUGAAGGUGGAAUCGCUAGUAAUCGUGGAUCAGCAUGCCACGGUGAAUACGUUCCCGGGCCUUGUACACACCGCCCGUCACAUCACGAAAGUGGGCUGUACUAGAAGCCGCCGAGCUAACCUUUAGGGGAGGCAGGCGUCGACGGUGUGGCUCAUGAUUGGGGUGAAGUCGUAACAAGGUAACC